rnacentral:rRNA from 1 species
GACGAACGCUGGCGGCGUGCCUAAUACAUGCAAGUAGAACGCUGACUACUUUAGCUUGCUAGAGUAGAAGGAGUUGCGAACGGGUGAGUAACGCGUAGGUAACCUGCCUACUAGCGGGGGAUAACUAUUGGAAGCGAUAGCUAAUACCGCAUAACAGUGUUUAACACAUGUUAGAUGCUUGAAAGAUGCAAUUGCAUCACUAGUUGAUGGACCUGCGUUGUAUUAGCUAGUUGGCGGGGUAACGGCCCACCAAGGCGACGAUCAGUAGCCGGACUGAGAGGGUGAACGGCCACAUUGGGACUGAGACACGGCCCAA